rfam:Triticum urartu cultivar G1812 contig564801, whole genome shotgun sequence.
CAUAUACUUCCUCCGUCCGAAAAUACUUGUCAUCAAAAUGGAUAAAAAGAGAUGUAUCUAGAACUUCUAGAUACAUCUCUUUUUAUCCAUUACAUCUCUUUUUAUUCAUUUUGAUGACAAGUAUUUCCGGACGAAGGGAGUACAUA